rnacentral:rRNA from 1 species
GACGGAGGGUGCAAGCGUUGUUCGGAAUUACUGGGCGUAAAGCGUACGUAGGCGGCGGGUUAAGUCGAAUGUUAAAGCCAGAGGCUCAACCUCUGAGAUGCAUUCGAUACUGGCCUGCUAGAGGGUGAUAGAGGAAAGCGGAAUUCCCAGUGUAGCGGUGAAAUGCGUAGAUAUUGGGAGGAACAUCAGUAGCGAAGGCGGCUUUCUGGGUCACACCUGACGCUGAGGUACGAAAGCGUGGGGAGCAAACGGGAUUAGAUACCCCCGUAGUCC